AAAAAAUCAUUGAUCAGGAAUAGUAGCUAAUGAUCUUAGUUUCAGAGAGUUGAGGAUGGUGGGAUCUCAAUACGUUAGACUUUAGUGAAUGGACCUGUUAGAUGUAAACCGAAAUCUAUUUUUGGAGAGUAGUCUUUACCGUGUUUCGCACGUUAUAGCGAUAGGAUAUGUUAGUAUCUGAAAUGAGAUAUGUUUAAGUAUAUAGAUAUUUAAAUUUGUAUCUAUACCUUAAGCAUAAUAUAGGUGGCAACGCGAAUGACACUUCGCCCUAUUA
rnacentral:ncRNA from 1 species